AGCGAACGCUGGCGGCAGGCCUAACACAUGCAAGUCGAACGAACCUUUCGGGGUUAGUGGCGGACGGGUGAGUAACACGUGGGAACGUGCCUUUAGGUUCGGAAUAACUCAGGGAAACUUGUGCUAAUACCGAAUGUGCCCUUCGGGGGAAAGAUUAAUCGCCUUUAGAGCGGCCCGCGUCUGAUUAGCUAGUUGGUUGAGGUAAUGGCUCACCAAGGCGACGAUCAGUAGCUGGUCUGAGAGGAUGAUCAGCCACAUUGGGACUGAGACACGGCCCAAACUCCUACGGGAGGCAGCAGUGGGGAAUCUUGCGCAAUGGGCGAAAGCCUGACGCAGCCAUGCCGCGUGAAGGAUGAAGGUCUUAGGAUUGUAAAAUUCUUUCACCGGGGACGAUAAUGACGGUACCCGGAGAAGAAGCCCCGGCUAACUUCGUGC
rnacentral:rRNA from 1 species